rnacentral:rRNA from 1 species
ACGAACGCUGGCGGCAUGCCUAACACAUGCAAGUCGCACGAGACCUUCGGGUCUAGUGGCGCACGGGUGCGUAACGCGUGGGAACCUGCCCUUAGGUUCGGAAUAACUCCCCGAAAGGGGUGCUAAUACCGGAUAAUGUCUUCGGACCAAAGAUUUAUCGCCUUUGGAUGGGCCCGCGUUGGAUUAGCUAGUUGGUAGGGUAAAAGCCUACCAAGGCGACGGUCCAUAGCUGGUCUGAGAGGAUGAUCAGCCACACUGGGACUGAGACACGGCCCAGACUCCUACGGGAGGCAGCAGUGGGGAAUAUUGGACAAUGGGCGAAAGCCUGAUCCAGCAAUGCCGCGUGAGUGAUGAAGGCCUUAGGGUUGUAAAGCUCUUUUACCCGGGAUGAUAAUGACAGUACCGGGAGAAUAAGCUCCGGCUAACUCCGUG